AAAGGACAGAGAGGCCAAGGCAGCGGCGAAAAAACCAAGCCACCAAGUAGUUGGUGUGUUGGCGCUGCCUCCACCUCUUCUAUCUCCAACAACCAGUUACAGUGUCCUGCCAGCUAUCAAGAACACUAAAGUGACGAAGGUGGAGACAACAGUGCCACCAGGCCCCAUGACACCUGAGGAUGAGGUGAGAAUGAACUCCUCUCCAUCUGUUGAUGACCCCCUUACCCCAGAGACCCCAGAGAGUGAUGUCACCUCCGAUGCCACUUCUCUGGCGGACACACCCCGUGAGAUGACACCUGAGAACGUAGAGGAGGCGUCUUCUCUAGAGGACUUCCUGAAGUCUCACCCUCAGAGAAAGCGCAUCAGGAAGUUCCUCAAACAAAUG